ensembl:lncRNA
AGAUAGAAUUUCAUGACUUUUUGCAAAAUAUUUGGGGAUUCUUUUCAGAUACUGAAGUUUUAAAAAAAAAUGUUCCAUUACUUUUACAAGUGUGGAGUGAAUCCCAUGUAGGCUUAGCCUACACCACCUAACACAGAGGAUCCACUGGGUGGAGUUGAACCCGAGGCAUCUGUCUGGGAGGCGAGAGUGCUAACCACUACACCACUGUACCGUGUCAACUGCUGCCAUUAGAAUGUCUAAUUACUCCAAUUUAGAAAAAAUUCAGAUUUUUAUUCAAAAGUACGUUUUCUCACCGUCGUCCCCCUUCAUAUGACUAAAGAUAGAAUUUCACCACUGUACCGUAUAAACUGCUGCCAUUAGAAUGUCUUAUGACUCCAAUUUAGAAAAAAUUCUGAUUUUUAUUCAAAAGUACGUUUUCUCACCGUCGUCCCCCUUCAGAUGACUCAAGAUAGAAUUUCAUGACAUUUGCAAAAUAUUUUGGCAUUUAUUUCAGACUUGGAAGUUUAAAAAAAGUUUUUUUCAUUACUUUUACAAGUAUGGACUAAACCCAUGCAGGCUUAGCCUACACCACCUAACACAGUGGUGCCACUGGGUGGAGUUGAACCCGAAGCAUCUGUGUGGGAGGCGAGAGUGCUAACCACUACACCACUGUACCGUGUCAACUGCUGCCAUUAGAAUGUCUUAUGACUUCAAUUUAGAAAAAAUUCGGAUUUUUAUUCAAAAGUAGGUUUUCUCACCGUCGUCCCCCUUCAGAUGACUCAAGAU